UGUGAAAUCCCCGGGCUCACCUGGGAACUGCAUUGGUGACUGGCAGGCUAGAGUGCGGCAGAGGGGGGUGGAAUUCCACGUGUAGCGGUGAAAUGCGUAGAGAUGUGGAGGAAUACCGAUGGCGAAGGCAGCCCCCUGGGCCAAUACUGACGCUCAUGCACGAAAGCGUGGGGAGCAAACAGGAUUAGAUACCCUGGUAGUCCACGCCCUAAACGAUGUCAACUAGUUGUUGGGGAUUCAUUUCCUUAGUAACGUACCUAACGCGUGAAGUUGACCGCCUGGGGAGUACGGUCGCAAGAUUAAAACUCAAGAA
rnacentral:rRNA from 1 species